CUUCCUGCUGCCUUUGCAUCCAGACACAAAGCUCUCAGCUCCUUCUCCAGCACUGUGUCUGCCUGUGUUCCACCAUGCUUUCUGCUGUGAUGAUGAUGGACUGAACCUGAAACUGUGAGAAGAUGGAGAGCUGGUAGGAAAAUCAUCUUGCACGCAGCCCUCGAGGGUGGGUAACCGGAAGUGCUUCUUUCCUCAUGAGAGUCAUCCCUGGCUGGGCUGAAGAAGCAGGAGCUGGUGACGAUGGAAAGUAGGAUGCAGCAAGAAAUUAAUUCCAGAUGGGCAAAAGGAGAGACAGACAAAAGAAUGAUCCUUUUAUUUGAAAGAAAUUUACAUCUCCCAAAGGUGCAGAAUUCUGUGAGUCCAACAUGUUUUUUUUGAUGGACAGUUAGGAUGGGACUGGAAAUUUUUAUUUCAUAUGUAAAACGUAAUGGUUCUCUUCACGUUUGCUGGCUUUUCACGAGCCUGUUUCCAAGGCUAAUGCUUAAAUGGCCCGAUGCAGUCAGCCCUAACAAUUUUAUUUUUGGGAAGCCAACUUGGAGAAGACAAGAAGUGUGGAACUUGCCUUCCCCCUCAGGCAAACUGGUUAUUUUGAGACCUCUCUUCCUAGGGAGAGGAAUGGGAUUUCCAGCUGUGUGCUCCUGGCACUUCCUUGAGCCUUCUGUAAACAGGGAGCCAGGCUUCCUCUUCAACAGCAACUCAGGAGGGGCCGAGUGACACCCUGCACCAUGCAGCGCCAGGCCCUGUGCUCUCUGCUCUGCACCUAAGAGCUACUUGGGAUAUAUGCAAAUGAGCACCUUUCUGGGUGCUGGGUAGAGUGGUGGGUGCUGACUCUUUGUUCUGCCAGAGGAAUUUUGUUUUGUUUCAGUGACAGGGCUCACGUGCACCCAAGGCCUUGAACCUACGAAGCUCUACAAGAGGCCAGUGCUCCUGUUUUGUAGGUAUGGCCUAAAUGAAACUUCCUCUUGCCUGGUCCCUCCAAGCCAUCUCUAUCUGUCCUAACAGAAGACACGCAGAGAACUCUUUUAAGUUUUGUUGCUAUUGUUCAUUUUGCUUUUCUGCUGCAGGGUCUUGCUAUGUAGCCCUGGCUGGUCUGGAACCUGCUAUAUAGAGUGGCCUCUAACUCUGAGGCCCACCUUCCACUGCCUCCCUAGUGUUGAAAUUAAAUGUAUGUGCCAUAUGCCUAGCUAUUGCAUAUUGUCUGGAAGUAACGAUAAUAAAUGAAGCUUCUGGCUGAACCAUGGCUAUCCAACAAGAACCCUGAGCACUAUGGGAAGAGUCCAGCUCUAGGUACAGUCUGAAUCAUCUAUACAAGCUUCCAAUGAAAGCUGCUAGCCACUAGAAAGGCCUUGCUGGUAUAGGCUCAAUGGUACAGCUGCAGCCUUGGCUAGACAGUCAGAGAAGCACACAUUCAUAAAAAUGGAAGUCCUUUCUCUUUUCAAUGCAAGGAGUGACAGCACUCAACAGCUAGCCUUCUCUGUCUGUGGGUCACACAAGUGUGGUUUCAACCAAAGGCAGUAACGAUGUUUGGGAGGUGGGGGAGGGCCAGUCCUGUCUGAACACAUAAGACUAGUUUCUCAACUGUGAUUAGUCCCUAAGCAGCCCAGUGUAAAAACUAUUAUUUCGAGGUAUGGAAGUGCACACCUGUAAUGUCAGUAAUAGCAAAUCCAGCUUGGGUUAUGAGUUCAAGGUCAGCCUGGGCCACAUAGUUAGACUGUCUUAAAACAAAACCUGUUUCAAAAGGUAUAAACAACAAAUCUACCCAAAACCACCCAACUAUUUAUCUUGUGUUUACAUUAUAUGAGGCCCUAUACAGAGUCCGGAGGUAUUCAGAGUCAACUAAAGGAUGUGCUCAGACUAUUUACAUGCACUGUGCCAUUUUAUAGGAGACGAGAGUGUCUGCAUGGAGUGUGUGUGGUCCUAGAAGCGGUCUCCCGUGGAUACUGACAGACAGCUGUAAUCACCUGUGCAGCUUCUAAACAUAUACACAGCAGGAUUCUCUGCAGACUCCCAGUUAAGUCUCUAGACAUCUGCAUUUUUCAAAGGGCCCCAAGGGAGUCUAAUGCAUUCCCCAGGUGAGGAAGAGGCUGUCUGUACAGAACAUGCUGUAUUCGAUCCUCAUCAAGAAGACAUUUAACAUAACUCCUACUGACACCUAUCAGCUGGCUCCUAGGUGGUUUCUGACAGUGUAAUACAUCAAGGAAGUCACUUCUAUGCUGUGACCACUGACUGGGAGAAACAGUGGCUUGAUCUCUCAUUGCCACCACAGAGAUGGCCAGAAAACCAGCUUCUUGUGAAUGAGCAAAAACCACAAAUGUAGUAAGCUGUGUGAAUAUGGUGACAAUAGCCAGGUGUGGGAGGAGUCCACGGGCUUCCUCAGCUGCCCUGGGUGGGUGGCGGUGGCUGACUUGGCUGUGCUGUCUGGGGAUAGCUGCAUGCCUUCUUUUCAAUAGGGCAGGUCCAUAGGACAGCACAGGAGCCCCCAGCUCAGGUCCAGUGGGCUUUUGCACUUGUCUAGGUUUUGAUGCAUCUUGACCACAGGCUACACAUCUUUUCCUUGCCACUUGUUUUCUUUCCGUUUAGAAUUUAAAAAUGCUCAAUACAUGAGAGUUAUUCCUUCUAGCAAGGAUAGGCUAGAUGCUGAUGAAGAAAUGAGGCUCUAGGGCUGGUGUGUAGCCAAAAGAAGAAAGAAGAAAAGAGAAAAGAGAAGAGGCUCAGGGUCAGAGCUGAGCAACCUGAUAGCCAGAAAUGACCGGACAAGCCUCCUUGCUGUGGCAACAGUGCUCAAGAAGUGGGUCUGGGAUCUGGGAUCAAGUCAAGGGCCCAGAUGUUAAUGUUCUAACAGCUAACAAAUUUAGUACCAGAAUAAAAGCUGUCAGUAAAGGUGGUCAUGCUGAGGUUGUGGUCACGUGACAAAGCCUUGGUUUCAAGAGAGCCAAGAGAGCAGGGUGCCGUCCACACUGGUAAGGUGCCCAUUCCCUGGAAUGCAGUGG